GACCUGCGGAGGAUCAUUAAGGAGUAUCAACGGGGCUUCGGCUCCCGACUCCCACCCUUUGCUUACCAUCCCCCAUACUUCGGCGGGUGACGCGGUGGGGAGACGGCGCUCUAGGAAUAGCACGCCUCCUCCCUACUGCGGCCCCGCCGGCCUUACAAAACCUCAAGCUAUAACAGUGCCGUCUGAGCAUUUGCAAGCAAAAGAAUAAAAACUUUCAACAACGGAUCUCUUGGUUCUGGCAUCGAUGAAGAACGCAGCGAAAUGCGAUAAGUAAUGUGAAUUGCAGAAUUCAGUGAAUCAUCGAAUCUUUGAACGCACAUUGCGCCCUCUGGUAUUCCGGAGGGCACACCUGUUCGAGCGCUAGUACGAACCCUCAAGCUCAGCUUGUUGUUGGAUCUGGCCCUCUCCUCGGAGGGGACCUUUCCAAAACCCAUGGGCGCCGCCUUCCGGCUCCAAGCGUAGCAAGCGAAAGCCCUCGCUCUGGACAGUCUGGUUGACGGCCGCCGGUAAACGAACCCAUUUACCAUACUUUAGCCUCGGAUCAGGUGGGGAUACCCGCUGAACUUAAGCAUAUCAAUAAGCGGAGGAA
rnacentral:rRNA from 1 species